AUUGAACGCUGGCGGCAGGCCUAACACAUGCAAGUCGGACGGUAGCACAGAGGAGCUUGCUCCUCGGGUGACGAGUGGCGGACGGGUGAGUAAUGUCUGGGGAUCUGCCCGAUAGAGGGGGAUAACCACUGGAAACGGUGGCUAAUACCGCAUAACGUCGCAAGACAAAAGAGGGGGACCUUCGGGCCUCGCACUAUAGGCUGAACCCAGAUGGGAUUAGCUAGUAGGCGGGGUAAUGGCCCACCUAGGCGACGAUCCCUAGCUGGUCUGAGAGGAUGACCAGCCACACUGGAACUGAGACACGGUCCAGACUCCUACGGGAGGCAGCAGUGGGGAAUAUUGCACAAUGGGCGCAAGCCUGAUGCAGCCAUGCCGCGUGUAUGAAGAAGGCCUUCGGGUUGUAAAGUACUUUCAGCGGGGAGGAAGGCGGUGCGGUUAAUAACCGCGCUGAUUGACGUUACCCGCAGAAGAAGCACCGGCUAACUCCGUGCCAGCAGCCGCCGUAA
rnacentral:rRNA from 1 species